AGAGUUUGAUCCUGGCUCAGAAUAAACGCUGGCGGCGUGCCUAACACAUGCAAGUCGAACGAGAAAGCCGGAUUUCGGUCUGGCGAGUAAAGUGGCGUACGGGUGAGUAACGCGUAGGUAACCUGCCCCUGUGUUCGGGAUAACAGUGCGAAAGCGCUGCUAAUACCGGAUAUGGCCAGAAGGCGGUGGUCUUUUGGUCAAAGUCAGCCUCUCGCAGAAGCUGAUGCACGGGGAUGGGCCUGCGUCCUAUCAGCUAGUUGGUAGGGUAACGGCCUACCAAGGCUCCGACGGGUAGCUGGUCUGAGAGGAUGAUCAGCCACACUGGCACUGAAACACGGGCCAGACUCCUACGGGAGGCAGCAGUGAGGAAUUUUGCGCAAUGGCCGCAAGGCUGACGCAGCAACGCCGCGUGGGUGAAGAAGGCCUUCGGGUCGUAAAGCCCUGUCAGGUGGGAAGAAUGUAUUCGGGAUGAAUAAGUCCGGAUAGUGACGGUACCACCAGAGGAAGCACCGGCUAACUCCGUGCCAGCAGCCGCGGUAAUACGGAGGGUGCGAGCGUUAUUCGGAAUUACUGGGCGUAAAGCGCGUGCAGGCGGGCGAGCAAGUCUGAUGUGAAAGCCCCGGGCUCAACCUGGGAAGUGCAUUGGAAACUGUUCGUCUUGAGUGCUGGAGAGGAAGGGGGAAUUCCCGGUGUAGAGGUGAAAUUCGUAGAGAUCGGGAGGAAUACCAGUGGCGAAGGCGCCCUUCUGGACGGCAACUGACGCUGAGACGCGAAAGCGUGGGGAGCAAACAGGAUUAGAUACCCUGGUAGUCCACGCUGUAAACGAUGAGCCACUAGGUGGUAACGGGUACUCAUUCCUGCUGUGCCGCAGCUAACGCGUAAGUGCUCCGCCCUGGGGAUUACGGUCGCAAGACUAAAACUCAAAGGAAUUGACGG
rnacentral:rRNA from 1 species